GAGACAGCUGGGACAGUGGCGUGUGUAGUAAGUAGGGGGGUAGCGUGGUUGGGAAUGAGUGUGCCGAAAGGGCGGGUAGGGGGUUUGUUAAGUCAUGUGUGAAAUCCCUCGGCUAAACGGGGGAACGACGCAUGAAACUGGCAAGCUAGAGUACCAAAGAGGGGGGUGGAAUUCCCGGUGGAGCGGUGAAAUGCGUAGAUAUCGGGAGGAACACCUGUGGCGAAGGCGGCCCCCUGGUUGGAUACUGACGCUGAUACGCGAAAGCGUGGGGAGCAAACAGGAUUAGAUACCCCAGUAGUC
rnacentral:rRNA from 1 species